GGGUAGGGUGGUAGCCAAUGAACCGCGUGUACACUAUGAACCAUAAUACCUACCGGCCAUACCUAACGUUGCUAGCUCGCGCAAAAAUUAUGUCGAGACUCCCUUGCCACGUCAAGAAGUUUGGUCUAUUCGCCGUGGGUCUGUCGCGAUAUACUCACCUGUGAGCCGCGUCUUAGUCUUCUACUCAAGCAAAAACGACAAAAAAUGCAUGGGGCGAAACACGGUAGGGAGGAAAGCACGUAAAAAAGGGUAUCACACCGCGGAAGCUACACAAAGAGGUAUUGAAAAAACACUUGUCGGGAUUAAGCAUUCUAAAAGCAGCAAAAACUGCAACCUUCUCUAUCCAGUAUUGCGACAGACGAAGUGUUUGUGCGGAGAUAUGUCACAAACAAAGUACCUACAGGAACAAUCCGUCUUGUAGAUUAGAGCCCCAUUAUGAUGCAAGUAAAUUUCUUACUGCCCAACAUGAAGACAGCAUAAAGAAAUGUUGAUUGUUACAAUUUGUGAUUUGGAAAAUAAAAAACAUAAGUCUGAAUGUGAUAAAAACACGUCGACUUUAUAAUGCUAAGAGCAUUUUAAUUAAUAUAAAUAUACAAGUACAAAAUGUUUUUUCUUUUUUCCCGGAAAGAGUUUGUGCGUAACUUUUAAGAUGUUCAUAAUUAUUGUUAAAAAUUAAGUUUUAAGGCUGAUUUGUUGGUUCUUAAACGUAUGUAUAACCCGAAACUUAAUAAUUAUAAAAAGUUAUAAAUA